rnacentral:lncRNA from 1 species
UCCAGCUACUCCUGGGUCACUGUCACAGCGGUUCAAACUCCUCCCCCACAGGUUCUGCCUGGACAGAGCACUGCUGAUUUAAUUUGUGGGUUUUUUGCAUUCGUGAGAUAAAUCCAACGUGAGUCCUUGUGCUGAGGAUGAAAGACAAAGGAUCUGUGAGAAAUGUCUGGAAUUAAAAGGUUUCUCCCAGCUUGGGGAUACUCAGAAACCUCCCUGCCUGGAGGCAGCCAGCUGAGAGGAGAGCAAUACCUCAGUUUCAUAUGAAAAAUGAAGAGGAACUCACAUGCUGUAAGUCUUACCUUCUGGAAUUAAAGGUUUUGGACUGAAUUCUCAUCUUUCAUUUAUUCACUUCAG